rnacentral:rRNA from 1 species
UACGAAGGGGGCUAGCGUUGCUCGGAAUUACUGGGCGUAAAGCGCACGUAGGCGGGUUCUUAAGUCGGUGGUGAAAUCCUGGAGCUCAACUCCAGAACUGCCUUCGAAACUGGGAAUCUUGAGUCCGGGAGAGGUGAGUGGAACUGCGAGUGUAGAGGUGAAAUUCGUAGAUAUUCGCAAGAACACCAGUGGCGAAGGCGGCUCACUGGCCCGAUACUGACGCUGAGGCACGAAAGCGUGGGGAGCAAACAGG